rnacentral:rRNA from 1 species
UACGGGGGGAGCAAGCGUUGUUCGGAUUUACUGGGCGUAAAGGGCGCGUAGGCGGCCACCGCAAGUCGGUUGUGAAAUCUCUGGGCUUAACCCAGAAAGGUCAACCGAUACUGCGGGGCUAGAGUGCAGAAGGGGCAACUGGAAUUCUCGGUGUAGCGGUGGAAAUGCGUAGAGAUCGGGAGGAACACCAGAGGCGAAGGCGGCGACCUGGACAGAUACUGACACUCAACUACGAAAGCGUGGGGAGCAAACAGG